rnacentral:rRNA from 1 species
CCUACGGGUGGCAGCAGUGAGGAAUAUUGGUCAAUGGCCGUAAGGCUGAACCAGCCAAGUAGCGUGAGGGAAGACUGCCCUAUGGGUUGUAAACCUCUUUUAUGCGGGGGUAAACGUGUCCACGUGUGGAUGUUUGCAGGUACCGCAUGAAUAAGGACCGGCUAAUUCCGUGCCAGCAGCCGCGGUAAUACGGAGGGUCCAGGCGUUAUCCGGAUUUAUUGGGUUUACAGGGUGCGUAUGCGGUCCGUUAAGCUUGCCGUGAAAUUUUGUGGCUCAACCAUGGAAGUGCGGCGCGAACUGGGGGGCUUGAGUGCGCGGAAGGCAGGCGGAAUGCGUGGUGUAGCGGUGAAAUGCUUAGAUAUCACGAAGAACCCCGAUUGCGAAGGCAGCCUGCCGCAGCGUUACUGACGCUGAAGCUCGAAAGCGCGGGUAUCGAACAGGAUUAGAUACCCGGGUAGUC